rnacentral:rRNA from 1 species
UGGGGAAUAUUGCACAAUGGGCGCAAGCCUGAUGCAGCCAUGCCGCGCGUAUGAAGAAGGCCUUCGGGUUGUAAAGUACUUUCAGCGGGGAGGAAGGGAGUAAAGUUAAUACCUUUGCUCAUUGACGUUACCCGCAGAAGAAGCACCGGCUAACUCCGUGCCAGCAGCCGCGGUAAUACGGAGGGUGCAAGCGUUAAUCGGAAUUACUGGGCGUAAAGCGCACGCAGGCGGUUUGUUAAGUCAGAAGUGAAAUCCCCGGGCUCAACCUGGGAACUGCGUCGGAUGAUGGCAAGCUAGAGGCUUGUGGAGGGGGGUAGAAUUCCAGGUGUAGCGGUGAGAUGCGUGGAGAUCUGGAGGAAUACCGGUGGCGAAGACGGCCCCCUGGACGAAGACUGACGCUCAGGUGCGAAAGAGUGGGGAGCAAACAGG